ensembl:lncRNA DRAIC downregulated RNA in cancer, inhibitor of cell invasion and migration
GGGAGAGGAGGGAACAGGGAUUAGUAAGGAAGAGGGCUAAGAGACUGCCAAAGGUCUCCCUGUUUUGCCAGGGUUCUGGCUGGUGGGAAGCUGGGCCAGGGAGGUAGGGACAGGAGUAAUCACCCUCUAUGAUUGCAGGGCACUCUACAGUGUGCAGAUGCCUUCCACUUCUUCCAUCUGCCCUGUCUCUCCAAGAACCCCUAUGGCCCCGGUCUCAGAACAGAGCUGAGUGCAGAAAUGAAAAUCUAUGGCUCUGUGUUCCAAAACGAUGAAGAAUUUCAAGAUGGUGGCAGUGGUAAAAUCUUUCUCCAGGAAAAAUCUGUCCUUGGCCCAAUGUGUAAACACUUGCUGAGGUACUGUGGAGCUUCAUAAUGCUGAUGAUAUUGAUGAUGAUGAUAAGUAUAUAAGCUUCACAUUAGGACAGUUUUUGUUUUUGUUUUUUUGAGACAGAGUCUCACUCUGUCACCCAAGCUGGAGUGCAGUGGCACCAUCAUGGCUCACAGCAGCCUCGACCUCCCAGGCUUAAGCGAUCCUCUCACCUCAGUCUACCGAGUAGCUGGGACUACAGGAACUUGGAAUAACUUGCAGUGUCUUGCAGUAUUGUGAAACCAGCAACUUGUUCACAAUUCUUCUGAAUUUCUUGGGAAAUUUGAAGUGGAGUACCUGUACCAACAUGAAAUGACACGAAUUUAAGUGACGCUCAACAACGAAAAGCAAAAAGAACCAAAGAGGAAGCAACUGAAACAACAUCUGGAUGUAUUUAAAAAUAUACAAUGCCUCCAAAAUCAGGUGUCAUUAAUGAAAAUUCUGAAGAAAUGCCACCGGACAUAGCCAACGCACCUACGCUGUUGUUAUUCAUUUCCUGCUUUUCACAGAAAACAAUUUUGUUGCAUGGAAGAUCGUGAACUUCAAAGGGCAGAGGGGAAACUGUCCCUUGGCCUCUACCCCUCCAAGGCCCCACUUUUUUGUCAACACUCCUUGGACGCAGCAGAAGUAUGAACAUAAUAUGGUCCUGAAUGAGGCUGAGUCUUUGGGCGCAGAAGACCCGGGUUAAUAAAAAUAGGAAGGUAAGAAAAGAAAAGAAAAAUCAAGACACAUCAUAGGACUAAAUUCCUAUUAUUUAUCCACUCAGGAUUGACCACCCCUUUGGGCCAGAUAGUUGUACCCCCAUGUACCAGGUGGGCACAUGAAGACACAAGAAGUGCUGUGAUGGUUCAUUUUGCACGUCACCUUGCGUGGAGUAUGCCAACUCAUUGUUUGGUCAAACACUAGUCUGGACAUGGUGGUAAAGGUAUUUUUUAGAUGAGAUUAACACUUAAAUCAGUAAAGCAGGUUACCCACCAUACUACGGGUGGGCCCUGUCCAAUCAGUUGAAGGCAUUAAGAACAAAGAUUGAGGUUUCCUAAAGAAGAUGGAAUUCUCCUUGAGACUACAACAUAGAAACCCUAUCUGAGUUUCCAGCCUGUUGCCCUGUGGAAUUCAAACUCAGGACUCCGGUCUAUGACAUUAACCCUCACUUAACUUUUCAGCCUGCCAGCCUGCCCUAUGGAUUUCGGACUUGCCAGCCACACAAUUCCUUAAAAUAAAUCUCUCCGUCUC